GAUGAAGAACGUAGCAAAAUGCGAUAAGUAAUGUGAAUUGCAGAAUUCAGUGAAUCAUCGAAUCUUUGAACGCACAUUGCGCCCGCUGGUAUUCCGGCGGGCAUGCCUGUUCGAGCGUCAUUUCAACCCUCAAGCCCCCGGGUUUGGUGUUGGGGAUCGGCUCUGCCCUUCUGGGCGGUGCCGCCCCCGAAAUACAUUGGCGGUCUCGCUGGAGCCUCCAUUGCGUAGUAGCUAACACCUCGCAACUGGAACGCGGCGCGGCCAUGCCGUAAAACCCCAACUUCUGAAUGUUGACCUCGGAUCAGGUAGGAAUACCCGCUGAACUUAAGCAUAUCAAUAAGCGGAGGA
rnacentral:misc_RNA from 1 species